AUGAUGGAGACUAUGAUUCCCCCACAAGUCGGGAUGAGACUCCGGACGAAAAAAAGAGAGGCCAAAGAAGCUCAAAUAAAAAAAAGAAAAAAAGAGGCGAAAGAAGCCCAAAUAAAAAAAGAGAGAAAAAGAGAGAAGGGACAAUGUUACUAUCCUUUUUCCACACUUGUGCUUCAAAAUAGCACCAUGAUCUUCAUGAUAGAGAGUUUCUUAUUUUGUCACUUUCAUAAACUACUGGGAAUUUUUCAUUAUAGAACUUGGCUUGUAUAUUCCAAUGAUGGGCUUCCUCAAAAUUCCUAG
rnacentral:rRNA from 1 species